UACAGAGGUCCCAAGCGUUGUUCGGAUUCACUGGGCGUAAAGGGUGCGUAGGCGGUUUGAUAAGUCUGAUGUGAAAUCCCGCAGCUUAACUGCGGAACUGCAUUGGAAACUAUUUGACUAGAGGAAUGGAGGGGAGACUGGAAUACUUGGUGUAGCAGUGAAAUGCGUAGAUAUCAAGUGGAACACCAGUGGCGAAGGCGAGUCCCUGGACAACUCCUGACACUAAGGCACGAAAGCUAGGGGAGCAAACAGG
rnacentral:rRNA from 1 species